rnacentral:rRNA from 1 species
ACAUGCCUACAACAUAGUGUUAAUGCAUUAAAACCCAUUAGAACCCCGUAGUUAAGUGUACUCAGGUUAGAGUAGUACUGGGAUGGGUGACCGCCCGGGAAGUCCUAUUGUUUUACAUGCC